UUACUCUCAUCUCUGUGUGAACGUAGAUUUCGGUCGAACUACGUUAAAUUUUGGUAUUUUUACGAUUACUGUGAUUUCUCUGUACUUUUGGUAUUAUCGUUAGCGUGAUUUUUUGCUUUCGCUUUAUCUAUUAUCUUUCAGUACUUAAAUCUCAACAAGUGGUAUCAAAGUCAAAUUUUAUUGAAUUUAGAGUACUGAAAAAGAAAUUGAGAUGCUAAUAGAUAGAGGAUCAAUCUUCGUUGGGUACC
rnacentral:lncRNA from 1 species